rnacentral:lncRNA from 1 species
AUAUAUAUACUAGUUGAGCAUACGUGCAAAUGCACGUAACAAUUAUUUUAAUUUAUUUUAAAUAGAAUAGAUAAUAUAGAUAUAGAUAGAUAAUAUAAAUAUUAUAUUACAGAUAGAGAUAAAGAAGAAUUAAAUAAAAAUUCAUACUAGAUAUUCUUCGAUUGGCAAAAAUUUGGAUAAGCAAAAAUUUUUUUCUGUUGUAGAAAUAAACAGGAAAUAACAGUUUGUUUAAUUCUGUUAUUUAUUUUACUUAAUGAAAGAGAAAUUAAUUUUUUUUUUCGCCAAAAAAUGGGUCUGCCGACAAAACGAAAUUUGAAAUACGUGCUUUUAUAUAUAGUAUAGAUAUAUA